UACGUAGGGUGCAAGCGUUAAUCGGAAUUACUGGGCGUAAAGCGUGCGCAGGCGGUUCGCUAAGACAGAUGUGAAAUCCCCGGGCUUAACCUGGGAACUGCAUUUGUGACUGGCGGGCUAGAGUAUGGCAGAGGGGGGUAGAAUUCCACGUGUAGCGGUGAAAUGCGUAGAUAUCUGGAGGAACACCGGUGGCGAAGGCGGCAUCCUGGACCAAUUCUGACGCUGAGGAGCGAAAGCCAGGGGAGCAAACGGG
rnacentral:rRNA from 1 species